AGUGAAUAGAUACCCCGGUAGUCCUAGCCGUAAACGAUACUCGCUAGGUGUCGGCCACGGUGCGACCGUUGUCGGUGCCGUAGGGAAAGCCGUGAAGCGAGCCACCUGGGAAGUACGGCCGCAAGGCUGAAACUUAAAGGAAUUGGCGGGGGAGCACCACAACGGGUGGAGCUUGCGGUUUAAUUGGAUUCAACGCCGGAAAUCUUACCGGGACCGACAGCGAUAUGAAGGCCAGGCUGAAGACUUUGCCGGAUUAGCUGAGAGGUGGUGCAUGGCCGUCGUCAGUUCGUACUGUGAAAGCAUCCUGUUAAGUCAGGCAACGAGCGAGACCCACGCCCACAGUUGCCAGCGUACUCUCCGGAGUGACGGGUACACUGUGGGGACCGCCGCUGCUAAAGCGGAGGAAGGAAUGGGCAACGGUAGGUCAGUAUGCCCCGAAUAUCCCGGGCUACACGCGAGCUACAAUGGUUGGAACAAUGGGUAUCUACCCCGAAAGGGGAUGGAAAUCUCCUAAAUCCAAUCUUAGUUCGGAUUGA
rnacentral:rRNA from 1 species